rnacentral:rRNA from 1 species
GAUGAACGCUGGCGGCGUGCCUAAUACAUGCAAGUCGAGCGAACAGACGAGGAGCUUGCUCCUCUGACGUUAGCGGCGGACGGGUGAGUAACACGUGGAUAACCUACCUAUAAGACUGGGAUAACUUCGGGAAACCGGAGCUAAUACCGGAUAAUAUAUUGAACCGCAUGGUUCAAUAGUGAAAGACGGUUUUGCUGUCACUUAUAGAUGGAUCCGCGCCGCAUUAGCUAGUUGGUAAGGUAACGGCUUACCAAGGCAACGAUGCGUAGCCGACCUGAGAGGGUGAUCGGCCACACUUGAACUUAGACACGGUCCAGACUCCUACGGGAGGCAGCAGUAGGGAAUCUUCCGCAAUGGGCGAAAGCCUGACGGAGCAACGCCGCGUGAGUGAUGAAGGUCUUCGGAUCGUAAAACUCUGUUAUUAGGGAAGAACAAAUGUGUAAGUAACUAUGCACGUCUUGACGGUACCUAAUCAGAAAGCCACGGCUAACUACGUG